AUGAAGUCGGAAUUGCUAGUAAUCGCAGAUCAGCAUGCUGUGGUGAAUACGUUCCCGGGCCUUGUACACACCGCCCGUCACACCAUGGGAGUCGGUAACACCCAAAGUUGGUAGUCUAACCGCAAGGAGGACGCCGCCUAAGGUGGGAUUGAUGACUGGGGUGAAGUCGUAACAAGGUACC
rnacentral:rRNA from 1 species